rnacentral:rRNA from 1 species
CAAUAGCGUAUAUUAAAGUUGUUGCGGUUAAAAAGCUCGUAGUUGGAUUUCGGCGGACAGGGGGCGGUUCGAUAUUUGUCGCUACUGCCCCAUUUGUCCGUGUUUUUGGCGGAGGUUUCAGGGUGCUCUUCACCGAGUGUCCUGGGAUGCUGUCAGGUUUACUUUGAAAAAAUUAGAGUGCUCAAAGCAGGCUUUACACGCUUGAAUAUUCGUGCAUGGAAUAAUGGAAUAGGACGUCGUUUCUAUUUUGUUGGUUUUCGGAAAUCGACGUAAUGAUUAACAGGGACAGUCGGGGGCAUUAGUAUUCAGACGACAGAGGUGAAAUUCUUGGACCGUCUGAAGACUAACUACUGCGAAAGCAUUUGCCAAGAAUGUUUUCAUUAA